rnacentral:rRNA from 1 species
GUAGGUCCCGAGCGUUGUCCGGAUUUAUUGGGCGUAAAGCGAGCGCAGGCGGUUAGAUAAGUCUGAAGUUAAAGGCUGUGGCUUAACCAUAGUAUGCUUUGGAAACUGUUUAACUUGAGUGCAGAAGGGGAGAGUGGAAUUCCAUGUGUAGCGGUGAAAUGCGUAGAUAUAUGGAGGAACACCGGUGGCGAAGGCGGCUCUCUGGUCUGUAACUGACGCUGAGGCUCGAAAGCGUGGGGAGCAAACAGGAUUAGAUACCCUGGUAGUCCACGCCGUAAACGAUGAGUGCUAGGUGUUAGGCCCUUUCCGGGGCUUAGUGCCGCAGCUAACGCAUUAAGCACUCCGCCUGGGGAGUACGACCGCAAGGUUG